rnacentral:misc_RNA from 1 species
GAUGAAGAACGUAGCGAAAUGCGAUAAGUAAUGUGAAUUGCAGAAUUCAGUGAAUCAUCGAAUCUUUGAACGCACAUUGCGCCCGCCAGUAUUCUGGCGGGCAUGCCUGUUCGAGCGUCAUUACAACCCUCAGGCCCCCGGGCCUGGCGUUGGGGAUCGGCGGAGCCCCCCGUGGGCACAAGCCGUCCCCCAAAUGCAGUGGCGGUCCCGCCGCAGCUUCCAUCGCGUAGUAGCUAACACCUCGCGACUGGAGAGCGGCGCGGCCACGCCGUAAAACACCCAACUCUUCUGAAGUUGACCUCGAAUCAGGUAGGAAUACCCGCUGAACUUAAGCAUAUCAAUAAGCGGAGGA